rfam:Gasterosteus aculeatus cont1.005909, whole genome shotgun sequence.
UUUAAAGUGUAAUGUAAGUCGCUUUGGAUAAAAGCGUCUGCUAAAAUGACCUGUA